rnacentral:lncRNA from 1 species
AUUUUCUCUGAAACUUCCUCCCUGUCCAGUGUUAUCUACCUCGGAACGGUUGCCUCAUUUAGAGGGACUCUCUAACCUGAGUACACAUUUGAAACAUAUGAGGGCUUUGAAACAUACCUGCUCCUGGACCACCUGCUGAACCAAUUAAAUCAGAAUUUCUGUUGUGAAGAUCUCCACAUGAGUUUAAGCUUUCCUGCUCAACUGUUAGUUCCAUGAAGGCAACAGCCAUUCCUGCUUCGUUCACUGAAAUAUCUUCGUUUCCUAACACAUAGAAAGUCAUCAUUUUUUGACGGAUGAAAGAAUGGAUAAAUGCCUAGUCUUGGAGACAUAUACUUGCAACAAAGGUUAGAUGAAGGAAAUGGAUGCCAGUGGGAGAUUUGUGGAUCUAUUUCACCAGAUUUCACUCUGCUGACUCAGCAAAAGGGUCCCCAAAGAAAGUGAAGAAACAGAGGCGAAGGGAGCAUAAGCAAUUUUCCAAAGGCCAUACAACAUGUAAGCGGCUGAGCCAAGACUGAAAUCACCAGGUUCUUAACCACUAGGCCAUAUUGCAUUGGAGUGUUGCCUCCUGGAGUAAGACUAGGCUAAAAGUUUCAUAGAAACCG